AUCCAUCUGACGGGUCCCAAUUAGGACGAAACGCGCGUCCUGGAU
rfam:Schistosoma mansoni, Puerto Rico, WGS project CABG01000000 data, contig: 0137